CCUCUGACUUCUUCGUCUGCUCUAUAGCGUGGUGGACCUGUCAGAGUCCGGAACGACACAUUUUCUUUGUUUAAAGUUCUUUCAUUGUCUUCAGAGUUAUAUACUCUUCUGAUUGUCAGUGUCUCCUCUUCUUACAUUGUCCAGUCGCCACCUUGGCUCUAAGAUUAUUCGCCAUUCUCUGGCCCUCCACGUGAUAAUCUGUCCAGCAGUCUGAUUUUGGGUCUGAUUGUGUCUAUCUGACUCUUUGCAAUCCUUGCGAGUCACUCUCUUCUCAAUUUU